UACGUAGGUGGCAAGCGUUGUCCGGAUUUACUGGGCGUAAAGGGCGUGCAGGCGGUUUGUUAAGUCUAGGGUGAAAGCUCCCGGCUCAACUGGGAGAGGUCCUUGGAUACUGGCGAACUUGAGGGAUGCAGAGGAAAGUGGAAUUCCCGGUGUAGUGGUGAUAUGCGUAGAUAUCGGGAGGAACACCAGUGGCGAAGGCGGCUUUCUGGGCAUUUCCUGACGCUGAGACGCGAAAGCGUGGGGAGCGAACUGG
rnacentral:rRNA from 1 species